GCCUACGGGGCGCAGCAGUGGGGAAUAUUGCGCAAUGGGGGGAACCCUGAUGCAGCGACGCCGCGUGGGUGAAGGAGUACUUCGGUACGUAAAGCCCUAUCAGCAGGAAGGAAAAUGACGGUACCUGACUAAGAAGCCCCGGCUAACUACGUGCCAGCAGCCGCGGUAAUACGUAGGGGGCAAGCGUUAUCCGGAUUUACUGGGUGUAAAGGGGGCGCAGACGGCGAUGCAAGCCAGGAGUGAAAGCCCGGGGCCCAACCCCGGGACUGCUCUUGGAACUGCGUGGCUGGAGUGCAGGAGGGGCG
rnacentral:rRNA from 1 species